rnacentral:lncRNA from 1 species
GGAUAGAUGGGGAGGCUGAGGCCCAGAAGGGGGCUGAGACCACCUCCCAGUUUCCCCAGCGAGGUGGCGCCUGAGCCACGGCCAGGCCCGGCCUCCUUCCACCCGGCCCUGCUGUGCGCGCGGCAGGUGCUGACCUGGCGAGGCCCGACAGGGGACCAGGUCGGGGUGACCGUCACUGACACCUGGACAGUCCUCGUUGUGUUCGGGGUGGGAAGCCCACGGAUCUUCAGAGGGAAGGCACCGGGAGUGGACUGCUGGACACCCGGAGUGGACUGCAGGAGGACACAGAAGCUAGGCUGAAGCGGGAGGAAGCUGGGAACCCUGCACGGGGCCACUGCGCACUGGGACUCGUUACUGGUCCCCAAGACUCAGGGAGAAUGGGGAAGAGUGUAUCACAGCCAUUGGGAACUUUCUUCACCCAUCAAAGCCUCAGGGCUGAAGCAUCCUGAACAAGAACUCAGGAGAGUGAAAGAAACAGUUACCUGUCGGCUGCAGCUGGUACCAGCUCCCCACCCUGUACAGAGACCGAAGCGUCCUCUCUCUCCCCAUCACCCAGCACCAGACUCUGCCCCGUGACCUCAGCCUGCACCUGCUUCCUGGCUCCAUCCAGCCUUCCAGCCUCACUAGAUCAUCAUGGGCCACUGGCCAACACACAGGGCAGUGCCGAGCCCAGGCCGUGGUCACACAUGGCUGGUUUAGUAGCUGAAAACAUUGUUUUUCACUGGCCUCACAGUAAUGGCACCUGCCCCCAUUUUCUGUGAUUGAAUUUUUGGAUCCUGCUACCAGGUUAUGAUAGAUUUUAUGGUAUGUCUCAAGAUGUUGAGAUAAAGGUAA